AUACUCACCCAGCAAGGGUGAUGCCAUGAUCACGAAGGUGGCUUUCCCAGCGCGCGGCUCAUCCGCUGCCCUCUGGGUGUGCGGACCCCUGCAAAUUCCCCAAAUGUAGGAAACUCCACUGCAUGAUUUGUGGUAGUGGGGGACCAUAUUCGCGCUUGCCCAUG